GCCAGGACCGCCAUCUUGGCUCCUCCAUGACAACAAGCAGACAGACGAGCUGCGGCGAAGCUGACGGAGUCCGAGCCGAGCGGCGCGUGCUCGCUUCCCGCGUGCGCCUCAGCUUCUGUUGUCGCGAGCAGAGCAGAGAAAACUGACGAGCAACACUACAGUCCGGCAAACAAACAUAUGAGGAAGAGGAGGAUGAUGGCGGUCCAGCAUUUACAAAGAGAAAGUAACCAGUGUCAUCGCUGAAGGAAUGGCAGACAUUACUCAGACACCUGUGAACACAGACAGAGCACUGCUUGGAGUCCAAGACAGUGGACAUCAUCUUUAUUAUACUUCUGACUGAACUAGCAAGGAGCAUUAGAGACGUUGAGCAAGUAAAAUGUCUGAAUUGACUGUUUCAUCAUGUUAUUUUCUGCAGUAACUGCGGGGAAUAUUAACUGAAGAGACCUUAUCAACAGCAGGCUUUGGAUCUACUGAAUAUGUAUUUUUCAAGCAUUUUAUUGCAGGGUUCACUGUUAUUUUUUUGCAUAGCGAUGACUGGUAAAAAUGUGUUGAUUCAUUUAAUUCAAUGUAUAGUUAACCAGAAUUCUGUCAUUUAUGCUUUACCAAACCUUUGACGUUUGUUUUUCUGCAGAACUCAAACGAAGAUACUUUGAAGAAUGCUGGUAAUCAAACCCAACAAGUUUGUCAGGUGCAGAAAUGAAAGCUCCCAAACAAAGAUGUCACUGGAUUAAGAAGUGGAAAGACAUGUUACACCACUGCAACCAUAAAUCCUGAGCGAUUUGAAAGGGGGCAACAACCAUGAAAAAGUAUGCAUUGUUUGACUCAAAAAUGAUUCAUGGUAAUAGUUGUAAAUGAUUAGAUAAAGUACAAAAUGUGUUUAAUUUUAAAACUCUGCCAUUUACAGUACUAAUGUGUUGUUCAAAUACUAAGUUUUGGUGUCUCUUUACAAUAAGGUAUAUCUUUAGUUAACAUUAGUAAAUGUUGAAAUUUACAUUAAAUAACAAUGAGCAAUACAUUUGUUACAAUAUACAUUACUAUUUCAUGCUGUUAAAAAACAACA